UCUUUCAUAUGACUUAAAGGCUUCUUUUAUAUAGUUUUUGGACUUCACCACGUUAUAUAACAACACAUGAUAUUAGAAAAUUUGCCUGAAAAAUUUCUGCUGCGAAAGCCCUUUACAUCAAGUUACAUUUAAAAAAAAAAAAUUAAGGUAAUUUAGACUUAGGACUUGGCCAUCUUACAACCCCUGCCCUCCCACUACAGACAAAGCCUCGGGGGUCCCAGCAACUGUACUACCACAUUUUGCUCUCAUUUUCUCUACCUGUACCUCCACUUUCACCUCUCUAUCAGAUUGCAAAGAAGCCCAGCGGCGGUGCAUUUGGGUUUUACGUUAGUGGGUUCUUUCUCUCAGAGAGCCGGUGGUGGAUUAUGGGUUUCAGGUUGGUCGGCUCGUUCUCUCCGCCUUCACAUCUCUCCCUAUCAGAGUGCAAAGAAAGUCAACUGUGCGUUCUGAAUUUUAGGUCUUGGGAAAUGGAGUUUUUAAAUCCUGAAGGAAUUGAACUUCCUCCACCUCCACCUCCACCUCCACCCAUGAUUCCUCCUAAUGUUGUCAUACUUGUAGCAGAAGGAAAGCCUGUUGAGCUAUUUGCGAAUACGUCAACUCCAAAACUUAUUCCCAUGGCAAGGCCUGACAAUGGAACAAAAGGGCAAAGGAUUGGUGAACAAGUCCUAUGGAGAGAAAGAAUUGCUUACUGUGGCGGUGACCAACCAUUUCAGGAAGAAUGCAAGCCCUGGGAGGGGCUCAGAGCAUGUUGGGAGUGAGGGAGACAGGAAGAGAGUUGAGAAGCAAUUUCAUUCCAAAACGUUAAAGAUCAGUUUUGAUUCCUCUUCAUUGGAAGCAGUGAGGGUUCUUGAGAUCAUCCCAAGGCAGAAUAUAGCAAAACAGUGUGUGAAUCAGCAGAUUUCCCAUGCAUCACUGUUGCGAAACUAAAGAAGCCAGCUUACUUUCCACUUGAGGAUAAUGUGUGUGAUUGCAUUAGGAAUUUGCAGAGGGAUGAAGUGAAGCCUCUUCUAAGAAAAUCGGGAAGAUUCAGAUUUCAAGGUGGAUUGGUCUGUUGGAACCAUUAUGCAUACAGGGAUUAGCCGGGGAUGUACACACGAGAGUUUUUAAAUGCUUGGGAAUUGAGGGCAAGGGAACCAGAUCAUAUACCCAUAAGACCUUCACUUUAUUAGAUACGUAUAUUUUCUCCUAUGCCUUCGGUGGAGUUAAUACGUAGGAUGCUCUAAUUUGAGCCCUUGUGCAGGUUGAGUGUGGAGAAGGAUGCAAGCAGUGACAUUCCUUUUUGCUUUGAUUAUAGUGAUUUGUAUUGCAAUAAUGGAAUAGGAUUUGACGCUCCCACCCUUAUUUUUUUACAUCAUGUGUUACGAAACCUGUCAGAAACAAAUAGGAGGAAAUAGAGAAGAAAUAAGAUGUACACGCUUGUGUUGGAUGAACGGUUCUCACGUGUAUUCUGUCACCUGUCCUGUGUUUUUCACUGCAGAUACAAUGUCCACCGUGAUAUGCCUCUCAAAGAAUUUGUUGAUUUUAUUCGGUUAAGGAUUCAGCAUGAUUUUCCAUGGAACAAGUCUAUGUUUGUCUACCUUAAGAACACCGAGCCUCCCAUUGGUACUACCUUGAUGUCUGAAGUCGAUGAGAAAAACAGGGACAAAGACGGGUUUGUUCGAAUCACCUACAGUGGAAAAGAGAAAGGAGGCUGGACCCGCUGAAGAAGCCAAUGAUCUGAGCUGCUUAGAUAUUACGUGGUUUGAAGACUUGAAACUGAUAAAAUACUUCGAUUUCACAGUUUCUCGCUCAAAACCUAAUCGUUGAAGUAUGAUAUGCACUAACUCUUCAUAAGUAACGUUAUCUGGCACAACCGUUGAUUUCACUUGACCA